rnacentral:rRNA from 1 species
UUGGAGAAGUGGCAAGUCUUCCAGUAUGGGGAGCAAAACAGCUAUGGGUCAAGUCCGAUAUCUUUAGGAGGCGCGAAGCUCCUCUUAUUGUGAGGGCGAGUUUUAUAACACCAUAGGACUGGCCGUCCCAUAUGAAAAGAUUAUAUUAGAAUUGAAUGAAGCUUUGUUUAUAUAUUGAUAAUGACAGUAUAUAUAUCGUGUCUUGACUAAUUGCGUGCCAGCAGUCGCGGUAAUACGUAAGAGACUAGUGUUAUUCAUCUUAAUUAGGUUUAAAGGGUACCCAGACGGUCAAUAUAGCUUAUAAAAUGUUAGUACUUGACUAGAGUUUUAUGUAAGAGGGCAGUACUUGAGGAGGAGAGAUGAAAUUUCGUGAUACCAAAGGGACUCGGUAAAGGCGAAGGCAGCCCUCUAGGUAAAAACUGACGUUGAAGGACGAAGGCACAGAGAACAAACAGGAUUAGAUACCCAAGUAGUCUUUGCAGUAAAUGAUGAAUGCCAUAGGUUAGAUCUGAGUUGGUAGUCUAGUUGAGUUAGUUUACUAAACUAAUGAUCUAUACAAGCCAGCCUUAGAUUUGGUCUAUAAAUGAAAGUGUAAGCAUUUCACCUCAAGAGUAAUGUGGCAACGCAGGAACUGAAAUCACUAGACCGUUUCUGACACCAGUAGUGAAG